AGUGAACGCUGGCGGUAGGCCUAACACAUGCAAGUCGAACGGCAGCACAGUAAGCGCUUGCUCUUACGGGUGGCGAGUGGCGGACGGGUGAGGAAUACAUCGGCAUCUACUUUUUCGUGGGGGAUAACGUAGGGAAACUUACGCUAAUACCUCAUACGACCUACGGGUGAAAUCAGGGGAUCUUCGGACCUUGCGCGAUUGAAUGAGCCGAUGUCGGAUUAGCUAGUUGGCGGGGUAAAGGCCCACCAAGGCGACGAUCCGUAGCUGGUCUGAGAGGAUGAUCAGCCACACUGGAACUGAGACACGGUCCAGACUCCUACGGGAGGCAGCAGUGGGGAAUAUUGGACAAUGGGCGCAAGCCUGAUCCAGCCAUACCGCGUGAGUGAAGAAGGCCUUCGGGUUGUAAAGCCCUUUUGUUGGGAAAGAAAAGCAGCAGGUUAAUACCCCGCUGUUCUGACGGUACCCAAAGAAUAAGCACCGGCUAACUUCGUG
rnacentral:rRNA from 1 species